UCUGGUAUGUGUGACUGGCGUAAACGUGGGUAACCACGAUGGAGCACAUAUUCAUAUUGCCGUACGCCUGGGCAAAGUAU
rnacentral:ncRNA from 2 species